rnacentral:rRNA from 1 species
AGUGGGAGCCGCAAGGUGACCGCGUACCUCUUGCAUAAUGAGUCAGCGAGUUGUGUGUCGCAGCGAGGUUAAGCCGUUAGGUGAAGCCGUAGGGAAACCGAGUCUGAAAAGGGCGAUAGUUGCGGCGUGCAGACCCGAAGCCAGGUGAUCUAUCCAUGACCAGGGCGAAGCGUUGGUAAAACUUCGUGGAGGCCCGAACCCACAAAAGUUGAAAAUUUUGGGGAUGAGUUGUGGAUCGGAGUGAAAGGCUAAUCAAACCUGGAGAUAGCUGGUUCUCCCCGAAAUGCAUUUACGUGCAGCGUCAGACAGCACCGUUGAGGGUAAAGCACUGAAAGGGCUAGGGGCCGCAAGGCUACCAAACCCUAUCAAACUCUGAAUCUCGAUGAGUGACGACUGGCAGUGAGACGGCGGGAGAUAAGUUUCGUCGUCAAGAGGGAAAGAGCCCAGACUGUCGGCUAAGGUCCCCAAAUCUACGCUAAGUGGUCAAGGAUGUGGGACAACCCAGACAAUCAGGAGGUUGGCUUAGAAGCAGCCACCCUUUGAAGAAAGCGUAAUAGCUCACUGAUCGAGUUGUCCUGCGCCGUAAAUAUAACGGGGCUAAGCGUAGUACCGAAGCCGCAGCAUCGCGCAAGCGAUGGGUAGGGGAGCGUUCCAGAUGGGGUGAAGGCGAUUCGUGAGGGUCGUUGGACUGUCUGGAAGUGAGAAUGCUGACAUGAGUAGCGAUAAAACGGGUGAAAAACCCGUUCGCCGGAAGCCCAAGGGUUCCUGUCCAAGGAUCAUCCGGGCAGGGUUAGUCGGCCCCUAAGACGAAGCAGAAAUGCGUAGCCGAUGGGAGACGGGUUAAUAUUCCCGUACCACUGACACAGAGCAGAGCGGGGACGGAGAAGGCUAGGGUAGCCACCUGAUGGAUGGUGGUUCAAUCCAGUAGGCUGUCUGCUUAGGAAUAAAACGAGCGGAUAAGGCCGAGAGGGUACGUCGAAGAGACUUCGGUCUUGAAGUACCUGAUGCCAUGCUUCCAAGAAAAGCCGCGGGCUGCGAUGAAGUGUUGGUGACCGUACCGCAAACCGACUCAGGUGGGCAGGUGGAGAACACCGAGGCGCUAGGGAGAACACUGGUUAAGGAACUAGGCAAAUUAAUACCGUAACUUCGGGAUAAGGUAUGCCAGUUAGGUGAAGGGCCUGCGCCUGGAGCCAAGACUGGUCACAGCAAAGCGGCGGUAGCGACUGUUUACCAAAAACACAGGUCUCUGCAAAGUCGUAAGACGAUGUAUAGGGGCUGACGCCUGCCCGGUGCCGGAAGGUUAAGAGGAGCUGUCAGCGCAAGCAAAGCAGCGAAUUGAAGCCCCGGUAAACGGCGGCCGUAACUAUAACGGUCCUAAGGUAGCGAAAUUCCUUGUCGGGUAAGUUCCGACCUGCACGAAAGGCGUAACGACUUCCGCGCUGUCUCAACCAGUGGCCCUGCGAAAUUGACGUUGGGGUGAAGAUGCCCCAUACCCGCAGAAAGACGGAAAGACCCUGUGAACCUUUACUCUAGCUUGGCAGUGACAUUCGACAUUAUCUGUGUAGCAUAGGUGGGAGGCGUUGAGUUCGGCGCGCUAGCGUCGAAGGAGCCACCGUUGAAAUACCACCCUGAUGAUGUUGGCUGUCUAACUUCGAAAGAAGGACACUGCCUGGUGGGGAGUUUGACUGGGGCGGUCGCCUCCCAAACAGUAACGGAGGCGCGCGAUGGUUCUCUCAGCCUGAUCGGAAACCAGGCGUAGAGUGCAAAGGCAUAAGAGAGCUUGACUGCGAGACGGACACGUCGAGCAGGUUCGAAAGAAGGCCUUAGUGAUCCGGCGGUCCCAUAUGGAAGGGCCGUCGCUCAACGGAUAAAAGGUACUCCGGGGAUAACAGGCUUAUCACGCCCAAGAGU